rnacentral:rRNA from 1 species
CAGUAGCCGCGGUAAUACAGAGGGUGCGAGCGUUAAUCGGAUUUACUGGGCGUAAAGCGUGCGUAGACGGCUUUUUAAGUCGGAUGUGAAAUCCCUGAGCUUAACUUAGGAAUUGCAUUCGAUACUGGGAAGCUAGAGUAUGGGAGAGGAUGGUAGAAUUCCAGGUGUAGCGGUGAAAUGCGUAGAGAUCUGGAGGAAUACCGAUGGCGAAGGCAGCCAUCUGGCCUAAUACUGACGCUGAGGUACGAAAGCAUGGGGAGCAAACAGGAUUAGAUACCCCAGUAGUCCCUGUCUCUUAUAC